rnacentral:rRNA from 1 species
UUAACACAUGCAAGUCGAACGCCCCGCAAGGGGAGUGGCAGACGGGUGAGUAACGCGUGGGAACAUACCCUUUCCUGCGGAAUAGCUCCGGGAAACUGGAAUUAAUACCGCAUACGCCCUACGGGGGAAAGAUUUAUCGGGGAAGGAUUGGCCCGCGUUGGAUUAGCUAGUUGGUGGGGUAAAGGCCUACCAAGGCGACGAUCCAUAGCUGGUCUGAGAGGAUGAUCAGCCACAUUGGGACUGAGACACGGCCCAAACUCCUACGGGAGGCAGCAGUGGGGAAUAUUGGACAAUGGGCGCAAGCCUGAUCCAGCCAUGCCGCGUGAGUGAUGAAGGCCUUAGGGUUGUAAAGCUCUUUCACCGGAGAAGAUAAUGACGGUAUCCGGAGAAGAAGCC